CUCUUCAGCAGCACUGAAAUAUUUUCUUUAGAGCCCUUAAUGUUGCUUUUUUGGGGCUGCAAGGAUCCCACACUACCUGAACUGGGGGAGUGGUGUUUGCCUCUUACUGAAACCUUUCCUUUAGAGCCCCUGGUGUUGCCUUUAGAGCCCCUAAUGCUGUUUUUUUGGGGCUGCAUGGAUCCCUCACUACCUGAACUGGGGGAGUGGUGUUUGCCUCUUCAGCAGCACUGAGACCUUUCCUUUAGGCAGGUCCAUGUUGUUCCCUUGGUGUUGCCUCUUUGGGGCUGCUUCACCCCCAGUUCCAGCCUGCCUUCACAAGGGCAGCCCAGCAUGGAGCACCCACUGUGGGGAUGGUUUGGACUGCUCUGAACCAAGCUCUGCUUUCAGGCUCAGAGGGUGAAUCCAAGCCUUCAAAGGCCAAAUGGAAAUUUUCUGUGUUCAGGCUGGUUUUUGUGUGUUCACCUGAAACCUGUGCAUGUCCAGUCCUCCUCCCGUGCCCCCAUGGAAAGGCAACGCUGCCUUUUGGAGUUUGUUUCAACCACAAUAUUUUUGUGGAGUUUAUGGCCAGCUUUCCUUUCAACUUGAACUCUCUGCCUCAGCCCCCUGUGUGCAGAGUGGAGAUAAUUUUGCUGCCUUACCUUGUCAGUUUAAUUAAUGUUUGGAGCGUUCAGAUAGCGACAAACAGCCGAGAAAAGCCCAAAGGAAAUGAAAAAUUCUUUCUUGGGAGCAGCGUUUGGACGGUCAGCAGCAGAUAAGGCUCAGGCACACACUGAAAAAUGAGGCAACCCCGAAAUAUUAAAUCCAGGCUGGUUUGGGAGGGAGGACUGAGCUCUGGGAGCAGACACUGGGGAAGGGCUGGGGGUGUCAUUAAAGACCUGCCAAGGAGGCAGCUGCACAGGCAGGUGGGGCUGAGAAUGGAAAGACAAAGUUGUGCCAUCUCACUAAUUCUGUAAUUAUCAAGGGCUUUCAACGAGAUGUUCUGGCUGGUUUCACCCUGAGCUCGUACUAAAAUCACCAACAACAUGAACACUUUUAUUUAAAAAAAUGAACCACUUCAGCUUCAAUUAGAAAAAGUAUUUCCCUGUGAAAAUCUAUUUCCUUAUUAUUUCUGGGUGGCUUCUGAUAGGAAAAUGUGUUAUGGAUUACAGGGACAGAUGUUCUACAGGAAAAAAAUACAUUAUUUAUUCUCAAUUGAACCCUUAAAGAGAAAAAUAAAUGUAGACAGGCACUAAGCCUGGGGCCUUUGAUUAGGUUUUCUUUUUAAUGAUAUGAGAAUAUGCCCUGAUGUGCCUGAAAACCCACCUGCUUGAGGAUGAAUUAAUUUGGCUGUGAUUUUGUGCUGGUGCCAUCAGGGAAAUGGUCAGUGAGGCUUCCGGGAGGACUCCAGCAGCUGGGAGGUGAUGGGGUGAGGGGUGCCACACGUGUGAGCUCCUGCCUUUUACUGGCUGCCAGGGCUUCCAGAGGCUGCUGACAGCUUCAUUUCCACGCAGGGGAGGGGGAAUUGCAGCAUGAUUAGGUCCAGGGCAUCUGAGGGUAAGGCUGAACAUCUAAAUUCGUGUCGGGAGCCCUUGGUGUGGUGGAAUCCACACCCAGAGCAGUCGUUGUCCUUCAUCUGGCUGCUGAAGGGCCCUCCAAAGCACAGGGCUCCUCCUGGAGAGGAAAAAAACCCUGAGAUUAAUUGCCAAUUCCAUUCACAUCGUUCCCCAAAUGAUUUUUAAUUUCCUUUGAAUGACAAGCAAUUAUGGCCUUUUUUCAGGGCUGCAUCGGGAGAUAAAAUGUCUCUCAAAUUCUUUCAGGUAUGUUGUUAAACUGUGCUCAUAAUUGAGGGCUACAGGAAUUAGUGUGAAGUCUAAUUGUGAGUAAAGAAUGAAAUGAAAGAUUCUGGAAAGCAUCAGAGCUGUUGCUGAAUUGUUCAGGUUUAAACAGGUGUGGCACGUUCCUUCGAGGGCUGAGAAAAAUAAUCUGGGAUCAAGUGUGGAGGAAGGGAGAGGGAGCUUGUGUGGAGUGAUUUACAUUUGUCUUAGGGGUCUUGGGAAAGACAAAACUUGAAUAAAAUCUCUUGCUGAAUCUCCUCCUGAGAGCCUUCCUGCUGCUCUUGCCUGCUCCAGCUUUAACUGCAGCCAGGGGCUGGUUCAGUGUUUGUGGGACAGCUGAAAGCCAUCUGCCAUCCCCAAGAUCCCAGAAGGAUUUGGGGCUGGAGGCCCUAAAACCCCUUUUCUAUCAGCAGCAAACCCCUCUGAGCCGCCGUGGGUCUCAGCUCUGGUUUGCAUCCAGCCCUGGCAGGGAUAAAUGCCAGGAGCUGGCACAGGACAGGGAGGGAAGGCUCUGCUCAGAGAGCAGAUCCGACAGGCUGGGGAGAGCCCCAUCAGUCUGGACCCGCCUGGCAGACGGCAGGGAGGGUAAUUUAAGUACUGGAUGGAUGCAUAUGAAUGGGCUCACUUGCAUAAAUUGUUACAGCACUCCGGCCCGGCUGCCCUUGUGCCAGGGCUGAGGGAAGGAGCCUCUGCCCUGGCUCAGGGAAUGAAAGUGCCUUUUACUGGAAUGAGGAGAGCACCCAGGAGGGGCUGGCAAGGAGUUCAUUGUGGCCCCUGCUGGGGGGGAGCUUUGGUGAAUGGGUCUGGUGCUCACCCAGUGGAUUUUGGUGUCUGGGCGCUGUGCUCGGUGAGCUCCCCCCCAGUGGAUUUGUGAGCUGUCUGAGGCAGUGGAGAUGUGCUCCUCUGCACAAACACAGCCCCCAGGACCCUCCCGAGGCAGGGCCUGCUACUGCUCACUUAUCCUCUCGUGGGACCACGGGAUCAGAGGGGCUGGAUCCCAGUGGAAAUUAUGGGAAAUUCAGUGUGUCUGCACAUGGCUUCUGCUCCUCAGUGUCCCUCCUGCCCCGAGGGGGAUGGACUGCCCCAGAACGCUUCACCUUGGCCUGAGCAGAGCACUGGACCCCUCCCGGGGAGGGGAGCCUGCAGGGAGCUGCUCCUGCAUUUCCUGCAGCCUGCUCUGGUGCUCCAGUGCUGGAUUUCCCUGCUCUGGCAGGGCUGUACCUGGAAGGAGCCCCAGGGGCUGCCCCAAAGCCCCCAAACCCUGCUGGCCCAGAGGAGCCCCUGGGCAGGGACUGUCUUCCUGCAGUUCCUGGGAUAUUGGGAGGUUUGGUGAGGGCUGCAGGCAGGCAGGGUGUGAGCACUGAAGGCAAACAGGGUGUGAGCCCUGAAGGCAGGCAGGGUGUGAGCACUGCACCCAUCCCGUGCUGGGAGCUCUGCUGGGGUGAGCAGGAGUUCUGGCCCUGCCUGCUUUGGAGGGAGGAAUUUCCUGGGAUUUUGGGUACAGGAGAGACCAAGGGUGCCUGGAGAGCACCUGAAGAGGGGAAAUGGAGGUGAUGUACAAAAGGAAUUGUUCCCUGGCAGGGUGGGCAGCCCUGGCACAGGUGCCCAGAGCAGCUGUGGUGCCCCUGGAUCCUUGGCAGUGCCCAGGGCCAGGCUGGACAGGGCUGGGAGCUCCUGGGACAGUGGGAGGUGUCCCUGCCCUGGCACUGGGUGGACUUUGAGUUCCCUUCCAACCUAAGCUAUUUGUGAUUCUAAAUAGGAUUUCUUGCCUUCCCUGUCAGUGCUUCCACAUGUUUGACAAACAGCUCAGCAGCCUAAUUCUUAUUUUUACAGUUCACUGCUGUUUGAUAUUGACAGUGUCCAUCUCCCUCCCUUUAUAGGGAACCUUUCAUUGAUUUAUUGUGAUGGUUCUUUAAAUCCCUCGUGGAACAGCAAAUAAUCUCUUGGCAUUUCACACACCUUUUAAUUAUAAAUAAGUGAAAGAAUGGAAAAUCACUCAGAAGCAAAAAACACCUGCAAACAAAACCUGUAGUUACAUCUUUUAGAAGAGAAGAAGUGGUUGUAAAGAAAGGGAAGAGCCUGGAGGAUCAUAAAGGAGCUUACUCUGAGUUGUUUAUUCCCUGUGUGCCUGGUGUGAUGUGUCAGUGAAGCUGAACUCUGCAUUUUAUGGAUUCCUCCCUGGAUUGUCUGAGACACGUGUCCAUAAAACCCUGCUGGGUUACAGCAGCCUGAGGAGCAUCACUGCUGUUGUUUUGGAACUUUCUAAUUCCCUGGUUCUCCCCAAACCUGCCUCACCUGAGCCUUGUGCCCUGCAGGGAGGUGCAAUCUGAGCCAGGGGUUGUGGGGUCUGGGAUAUCCUGAGCUGGAAGGGACCUGCUGGGAUCAUGGAAGGAGCAGCUGAGAGAGGUCAGGAACAGUUACAUCAACAAUAAUAUCAGUGAUAUCAAGGGCCCAUUGUUCAGCUCUGGAUAACUGACAUGCAGGGAGCUGGCACACCAAUGCAGUUAUAAAUUCACUUUGGCCAUUACUGCCAAGUACAGCUCAGUGCUGCUCAUGCUCCUCAAAUCUGCUUUGCUGCAGGAUAGAUGGGGCUCUCACCCACUGAGACAACAUCUGAGCCCUUCUAGCUGUCCUUUUAGAAACAGAAUUUCCUGGUGCUCCCCACCAGUGCUCCCAGUUAUCCUGUGCUCAUUCCUGAAAGGGCUGGAAUUCUCCUGGCUCAGUGGGAUUCUGCUGUUAGAUCAGCACCUGCUCUCUCUUCAGGGAAAUCAGGGAAUUCAUCUCUGAUUUGGUGUUUUCCUGAAAGAUCUGCACCUUAGGAGAGAGAAAAGAGCCCUGCCACAUCUGCCUAACAGAUGCCUCACAAAACAACUCCUAGAUUUUUGAAAUUGCUCUCAAGGAAGUUCUCAGUGGGGCAAACUGCUCCUGCUGCUUCCAUGGGCCUGAGCCCUCCCAGGAAUUCUGGCUGAAGUGGGAGGGGGUGGGCUGGGCCUGCAGGAGGAAUUACAGCAGAAAUUGAAUGGCAGACAUUGUGAGGAGUGGUGACAAGGGGGCCCUUUCCAGGUGGAGGUGGCAGGGAAUGGGAUGGGUGGGAUGGGCAGCACGGGAGGGGCCCCUCAGUGCUGGGUUAGCCCCUGCCCCCUGCCCAGCUCUGGGAUGGUCCCAGUUUGAUGAGGGAUGUGCCCCUCUCUGGGGCUGGAUGGUGGAUUUCCUAGCCUGGCCCAAGGUGAGUUUAGCAGAGCAGGGUGGCAGGAUGCCAGUGAGGAUGAGCCAUCCCCUGGAGCUGUGGGAUCAGGGAACAAGCAGCCAGGAUCUCUGCCAGCUGAGCCUCUCCCCCUCUGCUGCACAGACAUUAUCCCACAGACAGCCCAGGGCUGAGCUCUCCUGGGUGCUGGGGGUGCUUUCUGCAGGAUUUUGGCUGAGCCUUAGGCUUUGUUACAUCCCUGCCCUUCUGCAGAGGUGGAAUGGACAAAUAAUUCCUGCCAAAUUCUAUUUGCUCUUUGAUCUCUGCUGCUCCUGACUGCACAGGGUCACUGUUACACGUGAGAUUCUGCAGCAUUUCCUGUCUGUCAGUUGGAGUCAAACUGAAAUUUAGAAACUUGUGUUGCUGCCUUGGAUGAGUUUCUCCCUCCUGAACAGCAGGUUUUAAUCCCAGCCCUGCAGAGACAGGCACAGUUCUGCUGUGUAAAUAAAUUCAGGGUAAAUCCUGAGAGUCCAGAGUCCUGUGUGUCUGGAGAGCCCAAAUCCUGGCUCACAAACCCCUCUGAUCCCUCCUGUGCCUCAGCUUCCUCCAGCACAUUUACCUGCCCCUGUGGCUGGGAGGGGAAGCUCAGCCCUGUUUCUGGUGCUUGGAGCCCCAUUCACUGAGAUAAAUGAGUUCCCUCACAAACAGCCCUGGUGAAAUGGCUCAUGCCUGGGAGGUCCACAAAAACCUUUAUAGACACACAGGGUAAUUAAUUAGAAAUAGUCCAUUACUGGGGAAUUGGUUUAGGAUUCAAUUUUUAAUUUAGUAUUAAAUUGCUUAGGGACUAUUUUCUUUUCCAUGCUCUUGUAUCCUUGGCUUGCUCUGUAAUAUUUGCUCCUCUGCUCUCCUGCCAUUGGAGAGCAGCCCAAUCCCUUGGAUUCCCAGAGUGGGAGCAGAUGGGAGCCCCAGGGCCAGCCCUGCCCAGCUGUUUGUACCCAGCUGUUUCUGGCAGGGCUGGGGGUGGCAGCAGCUCUACAUUCAGGUGUUUUAAUUAAUAUCAGUUACAUCCAAACCAGCAGCAAAGGCACGAGCAGGACAGUCCAGCAUUCCUGAGGACUCCUGACUCCAACAAAGGACUGAGACUUUGGGAGCAGCAGACCCAGCCCUGUGGAUGUCAGAGAAAUUCUACUCUGCCAUUGGGAGCUGGUUGCUUUUGGAAGGGAUUGGAAAUCUGGAGAUGUGUUUACUGUUUCCUAAACUGGUUUAGAACCUGAGAAUUAUUUUUUUUUUCAAUUUGAAAUGUUGUUGUUCUCUCCUUGUGUUGGUUCUUGCCUGUAAGCUGCAGCAAUUGCAGGGAGAGAUGUUUUAUCAGCCAGGAGGUUUCCUGGGGGUGCAGCAGCUGUGGGGAUGUGGCUCCAAGGCCACUGCUCCAUCCCAAAAAUGUGCUUUGGUUUGCUCCUCUCCUGAGUCCCUCAGGCUCAGCCUUGUCCCUGCUGUGUUCCCUCUCCCCAAAGCCAGGGCCCACCUUUUCCCCCAGGGCCCACCUUUCCCAGAGAUGAAAUUCCUGCUGUCAUUUAAUGACCUUUCUACUGCUCAGACCCAUUUUUUGUAAGGUUUAGGGUGUUCAGAGUGGAUCAGUGCCAUGGGUGGUGGGAUUUACUGGUGGGAAAUGUGAGCUGAAAUGCCAAAUAUCCUUAAAAAUACAACCCUGUGCCAAAGAAUUCCUGCCACGAUGCUCUGUACAACCUGCUGGUGCCAGGGGCAGUGGAAGCCCUUCUGGAAGGGUUAGUGAGGGUAGAGCCAAAGUGCAUGGAAAUGUUUUGGAAAGAGCAUUGCAAAAUGCAACAAUGUGAUUUAUGAAUCAGUGGGAAUGGCAGUGAUAGGCCAUAUUUUCACUGAGAAAUAUCAUAACUGUCAGGGAACAAAAUUGUCUUUUGAUUGUAGCAAUAUGCAUUGAAAUCACUGCUGGGGAAGUUCAUCUCCUCAAGGUUAUGGGAUGUUUUUGGCUGAGGAUACACUUGGAAAAGCUGUGGUUUUGUUGGGUAUUUUCCCCCAUCUAAAUCAUUUAAGGGUGAAAAGGAAGGACAGAGACCCAGGGGCCCUGUGAGGUGUUCCUCCAGGAGAGGGGGCAGCCUGGGUGACACCCCCUGCAAAUCCUCGGGUCUGGGGGCUGCUUUGUGUCCUGAUCCUGGAGAGUCAGGGGAGCCAGGCAGGGGGGCUGGAGCUGAGCAGGCUGAUCCCUGUGUCCUGCAGGAUUCCCUGGAGUGAACAGGCUGAUCCCUGUGUCCUGCAGGAUUCCCUGGAGCUGAACCCUGAUCCCUGUGUCCUGCAGGAUUCCCUGGAGCUGAGCAGGCUGAUCCCUGUGUCCUGCAGGAUUCCCUGGAGCUGAGCAGGCUGAUCCCUGUGUCCUGCAGGAUUCCCUGGAGCUGAACAGGCUGAUCCCUGUGUCCUGCAGGAUUCCCUGGAGUGAACAGGCUGAUCCCUGUGUUCUCCUGCAGGAUUCCCUGGAGCUGAACCCUGAUCCCUGUGUCCUGCAGGAUUCCCUGGAGCUGAGCAGGCUGAUCCCUGUGUCCUGCAGGAUUCCCUGGAGCUGAGCAGGCUGAUCCCUGUGUCCUGCAGGAUUCCCUGGAGUGAACAGGCUGAUCCCUGUGUCCUGCAGGAUUCCCUGGAGCUGGACAGGCUGAUCCCUGUGUCCUGCAGGAUUCCCUGGAGCUGAACACUGAUCCCUGUGUCCUGCAGGAUUCCCUGGAGCUGAGCAGCUCAUCCCUGUGUCCUGCAGGAUUCCCUGGAGCUGAGCAGGCUGAUCCCUGUGUCCUGCAGGAUUCCCUGCAGGGUUUCAAAAUCCCUCUGGAUGUGGCACUGGGGACAUGGGCCCUGCUGGGGUGGCUGGAACUGACCUUGGUAACUUGCUGGGGAGCUCAUUUUUAAUAGAAAUAACUGUUUAUGUGCUUAGUUUGUUUAGCACUCUGUACUUUAGGAGGAUGUUACCCCUGAGCUGCCUCUUAACCAGCUGAACUCCAGGAAAUUCGUGUUCCCCUGGCCUUGGAGGGCUUUUCCAGCCUCAGUGAUUAUCCCAUGACCAGGAGCAAUCCCCUGCAGAGCUGGGGGAUGUCCUGCAGCGUUUUGUUUUACAGGGUUUGUGUUUUGGAGGCCAAGGGAGCCCAGGAUGUCCCAGCCCAGAGGAGAGGGAGCCCCAUGGGAUUUGUCCCCUCCCAGCCCCUGCUGCUGCCUCCCCUGGCCUGGGGCACAGGGGAGGGUCCAAAAUCCCAUUUGUGCCUUGCUGGCCGAGCCAGAACUGGCUGAUUGAUAUUCAACAUGGAAAUUGGAUUUCCAAGUACCUUCAGGAGAGCUGUGAGGAGGCAGCUGGGCUGCUGGGGAGAUUAUUCUGUGGUAUCAGUGAUGAUGGAGCUAAUGAAUUAGAUCCAACCACCUACGGUGAAAUCUGUUUGCUGUGUACAAAAAUGAACAGGAAAAUGAGGUUUUUAUUAAAAAUAUCCCAACUCUUUUUUCCUUCAGCCAGAGUGUGUAGUGCAUCAAUACAACACCUGUACAGCUGUAAGGGCAGUGCUGCUACACCACAGACAUUUCAUCUCAAUAACAAAGUUAAUAUUGAAAUAUUGUUUUUACCAGUGGCAGGGUGGUUUUUAACAGCCCAUUGACAUCAAAUCAGAUGAACAAUAUCCACUCCAGCUCCAUUUUUCAGCUCUUUGGGCAGGUGGGGAAUUCCCUUCAGGUGCCAUCUCUCCUCCCCAGGCAGGGAUGGGCCACCAGGUGCCCUCUCCUCCUGCAGCCCCCUUUGCUGGGUCUCAGGGGUGCAGGGGGUCCUGGCAGUGCAUCCCACCUCUCACUCUCUGCCUGGGUUUCACAGGUGGGAAAUGCAGUGUUUGAAAGCAGCUGAGGCCUCUGUGUGUCCCCAGGGCUGGGCUGGAUGCAGGGAGCUGGAGGGUGGCUGUGAUGUGGAGCCCACACAUCUGGGGGAAGCUGGAGGGAGCAGCCAGGGCUGGCUGGGAUGGGAGGUGUCCUGCAGCCACCCACAGUUCCAUUCCCAUUGCUGAAAGACCCCUGGGCUGAAGACAGGGAUGCAGCAGGCACUUGAUGGCACAGAGGAUGCCCAGCAAUCCCAAAUGGAUUUCAGAGGCUGACAUCAGAGCUUGAGCUCUCACCCUGGCACAGCAGGAAUGUUUCCUUUGGAAUCAGCAGUGUUGGAGGAACUGAAGGUUGAGAGAGCAAAGAGGCUGUUACCCUCGAGCUGCCUCUUAACCAGCUGAACUCAGAGAUUCCUGCUCACCUGGGCUCCAGGCAGGACCUUAAAGGUGGAGAGGCUUUUUUACAGUGAUGAUCUUAAACAGGGAUCAGCUGUGCCAGAGGAGGAAUUUGAACCCCUCCUGGAGCUCAGCCUGCAGCAGCUCUGUCCCUGCUGCCUCUCGUGGAUGCACUGGCUGGUUUUCCUGGACAUGCAAACCCUUCCCACCUCCUGGAGGUCUCCAGCCUUUGCUUUGUACCCGAGCAGCUUUCCCACAGCCAGCUGAAGCUGACAGCCUCAAAAGGAGGAUGUGAUUUUGCCCAACAUUUGAAUUUGAUCCCACCUCCCUGCCUGGUGGUGUUCCAUCAAACUGCUCCUGAUCCAAAGGUGCUGCUGCAUGCAGAGGGACACGGUUGGCUCGUGGACCAGGCAAGAGUGUGGCUGCCAUGGCAACAGCCUGAAAUUAGGAAUCAAUUAGAGCUGAAAAAAGUGCUAUCACUUCAGCAGACUCAGUGCUUUUCCGUAUCUUUUCGGUCUCUGUAGCGUCUCCAUUUCGACUUGCAGACUGGAGAUGAUGGAGCAGUGUCAGCUCUGCUGAAUUCCAGGUUGAAGGCUUUAAGCAGAUCCUUCUGCUCCCCCUGGCAGCAGAGCCUUGGCAGAGGAGCUGAGGAGCAGCCCUGGAGUGCCCGUGGAGGGUGGUGACCUGGAGCCUCCUGUGAGUGACCAUCCCCUGCCCCAGGCACCUCCCCUGCCCUUUCCUGGCUGGUUAUUCCCAGAGGAUCCAGCUGCUGCUUUUCCCCUGAUUGCUCCACUUCUGACUCAUUGGAACAUCCUGAGCAGCACAAAACUGACUGAAGAAAAGGACAAAACCCAAGGACUGUGUGUGGUUAUUUAGCCCAGUUUGUGCCUGGGGCCCUGAAGGAAUUCAGCUUUCCUUCAGCCAGGCCAGCUCCUUGUCCUGGCACAGGGUGAAUCAGCUUGGAUGAAAGGAGAGCCAGCCUUGUUCCUGCCAAACCCUGGGGGACCUGGGGACAGUUAAACUGAGCUGGAUCCUGCAGGAUGGGCAGAGUUCAGAGGCACAGCUUUGGUCCUGCAGCCCAGCCCAGGAUUUUCCAGGCCCAUCCCAGCACAAUUCUGGGACUUGUCUCCUUCCUGAGAUCGGUACAGUUGUAGCAAAGUCUCCAGGAACUGAGCUAAAGCUGUACAAAACUAAGGUCAAAAGGAUUUCUGUGGAAAAGUGGGAUGUUUGAGUCCUUAAAGAGAGCCCUGAGAAAAGAUGCUAGGGGAUGUCCACAAGGCCAUGCACAAAAUAAGCCUGAAAAUUGUGGCUAUUUCAAAUGGAAAUACAUGGAGAUAUUGUCUCAGGGUGGAGCUGGUGCCCUGAACACAGUUUUGGACAGUUCCUGCUCGCUCUCCAUGGAGGACUUUGGCUGCUGUGCUUAAGACCUGGCUUGCAGGGCUUGGUGGAGCCGUGUUCCCUGACACAGCAGCAGCACUGAGAGGCUGCAAAUGAAGGAGAAAAUUAACAUAAACAGGUACUGCCUAAGUUCCAAAUUGAGGCUGACUUGAGACCCAGCUUCCCUGAAAUAAACCAUGACAAAAAGUUAACAGGAUCCAGCCAUUCUGCUAUGAAAUACCUCCCUGGGGCUGAUUUCACAAAGCUGAAGGAGGGAAUAAUUCAGUCCUGUAGGCUUUGAAAACCUGAUGUAGAUUCUUUUUUUUUUUCCUUUGCUACUUCAUUCUGCUUGAGCAAGGAUUUUAUAUCUUGGCUCUUCCGAAGAUGUUCUCAUCACUGGUGAGCACUUAGAGAACAUCUGCAAACAGCAGGAGGGGCUGGCACAGCGUGUUCCCCUGGCAGGUGACAUCUGUAAGGCUGGCACAGGAGAGCUCCUGGAUGGCAUCCAGAGAGGGGAGCUGGGAGAGAUCACCUCCAAAAUUCAGCCAGGGUGCCACAAGGAGAAAGGAGAUCCUGAAGAGGGCUGGCCUGCAGCAAGGUUGUCGUGGCCUUGGCUGUCAGAGUGUGGGGGUUUGCUGGCAAUAAUUCCUGUUCCAAGCCAGAAAAAGCACUCACUUUCCUUGGCAUCAGCAGCUGCUCCGUGGUGAAAUCCUCCUUUGUGUGUGAGGACAAGGCAGGAGUUUGUGCAGCCCGAGUGUUUUACAGCUCUGUGCCCGAGCUGCUGGAGUUCAGCACGGAGCUGGGCACACUCAGCUCGUUCCUUGGGCUGGGAAAACACCUCUUUUCCUUGUCUGCACCUCCUUUUUUACCCCCUGGCUGCAGUGGAGGCAUCAGCAGAGUGUUCCAACAGCACCAGGCUUUAAGGGAACUGCUGGAGCCAGAUCCAGAGAAAGACAAUGUGUUUUACCUUGGAUCACGUUUAUUCUCAGAGUAAGAGCUUUCAGUGCUCACCCACGGCUGUCCAUGGAUUGGGAAUGCCACUCCUCUGGAUCCAGGGGAUCCUCACACUCCUGCUGGGCAGAAUGCUGCUGCUGCUGGAGCACUGCAGCUCUGAGGCUCCAGCGAGUGAAAUGCUGCCUUUAAACCCCUCCCUGGCCACUGGAAGCUGCUGGAGGAAGGGAGCUCCUGGAGGAAGACAUUGGCCUUGUGGACUUUGCUGACAGUCCAUAAAUCCCAGUUCUGUCAGCCCAAGGAGGUGCCAUAAAGAGAGCAGAUUAAAGGAGAUUGGUUCUGCCAAGUGCCUGCAGAGGAUUUACAGCUCCCCCUGCCCUCCCAGGAGCUGCAGGUGCCCAGGUGAUGGUGACUGAUCCCUCAGGACACUCGUGGGACACCCAGGACAGCGAGGGCAGGAUGUGAAGGCAGAGGAGGAGGAGAGCUCACCACCAGUGCAGGAUGUGACAAACCCCUGGUGCUUCAAACUCCUCCUGGAGCCAGGAACUGCUUCCCAGGGAAACUCUGCUGGCACCUGAGGAGCCUCUGGAUGGAGAGCAGCACGAUGGAGCUGCAGGUGUGAGGCCUGGCUCAGCACAGAGCAAACAAAACCAAUCAAGGCCUUUCAGAGGGUGUGAAUGGAAGGGACCCCCCAGGAGCUCUGAGUCCAGCUCAGCCUGCUCAGAACCAGCUCUGGAGUUCCACCAGUGCCUCUGUGCAGCAGCAGUGUGCACCAGCUGCCCACGGCUCCCACCUGGGAAGGAAUGAGAGGAUGGAUUUUGAACCUGGAUCAAACUUCUGCUCUUUCCAGGCUUGUCUGGGGCAUAAAUUGGAACUCAAACCCCCAACAAGUUCCUUCCAUCCCUGCUGAAAGGCCCCGGGCUUGGUUUAGUCAAGGCUCAGAGUUCAUUUUCCUAUUAAAUGAAUGCUUUCUUAAAAGGAGGGGGGGAAAUGUUUUCAGUGAUAAGAUUGUUCUGUGAACCAUUCCUAAUGAGCUGCUGUGUCAUCCCCUUCUGCCUCCUAUUUAUCUUGUUUAGAUCCCUUCAGUGUGAGCUACUCCAGUCCUCUGCUGCCUGCUACCAGUUUGUUUUGUUUUGUUUUGUUUUAACUAGGAGCUUCAAAUACCUUUUAAAAGGUUUUAGUGAAAUAUUUUAUUUAUUUCUUUAUUUUGGCACUUUUUUUCAGGGAGGUGGAUAUAACAUCUAUAGAAUAUACAUAUAUUUUAACUUUUUAUCUAGUUCUGUAAGGUUUAUAAUCUAAAUUUUUAAAUUUCCAUUAUUUUUUUAAUACAUGGCCUUGCUUAUUUCCCAAGGACAUUUUCCUUCUUGCCCUGGGAAAGGGCUUGAACUCCCCCCUGGCAGCUGUAGGACCACUCGUGGGGCUGCCUUGAAGGUGAUUGCUGUAGCAAAAGGGUGUUUGUGCCCAGCAGAGGCAGAUUGUUGCUGCCUGUUGUGCAGCAGGUGCUGUGUGGUGAUGGGUGCCCAGCCUCACCAGCACCCAGCAGUGGGUUGGCAGCUCUGCACUCCUCUCACAUGGCAAAGCACUCUUGUGGGUAAAACAAAUACUCACAGCUUCUCAGAAAACGUCUCCUGAGGUGCCUUUAAACAGGAGAGAUGAGCACUGAGGGGGAAAAAAUCCCUCAACUCAAACUGAGUCAUUUUCAAACUCUGCAGGCCAAACAAGGCUUUUGUUGUGUCACUGCCUCGUUCAAGGGCACUCCCAGGGCCCCCAGCACCUUCAGGCACUGCUGGCAUUGGGAUUUCCUUCCCAGGGGAUUUUGUGAGUGUUUGUGGGAUUCACACGGUGGGACUCAGGUUCUGUGGUAGGAGGGGUAUUGCUGUCUGUCCUCCUUGUCCAGCCCAGUGCUCCCAUUUCCCACUCUGUGGGCAGAGCUCAGGGCUCUGCCCAGGGCUGUUGGUGUCUGUUGGACACCAUGGAAUCUCCCUCUAUUCCAUCCCAAUUUCUGGAUGCAGCAGCUGUUGGUGUCUGUUGGGUUCCAUGGAAUCUCUCUCCAUUUAAUCCCAAUUUCUGGAUGCAGCAGCUGUUGGUGUCUGUUGGACACCAUGGAAUCUCUCUCCAUUUAAUCCCAAUUUCUGGAUGCAGCAGCUGUUGGUGUCUGUUGGAUUCCAUGGAAUCUCCCUCUAUUCAAUUCCAGUUUCUGGAUGCAGCAGCUGUUGGAUUCCAUGGACUCUCCCUCUAUUCCAUCCCAGUUUCUGGAUGCAGCAGCUGUUGGUGUCUGUUGGACACCAUGGAAUCUCUCUCCAUUUAAUCCCAGUUUCUGGAUGCAGCAGCUCUUGGUGUCUGUUGGACACCAUGGAAUCUCUCUCUAUUCCAUCCCAGUUUCUGGAUGCAGCAGCUGUUGGUGUCUGUUGGACACCAUGGAAUCUCUCUCCAUUUAAUCCCAGUUUCUGGAUGCAGCAGCUGUUGGUGUCUGUUGGACACCAUGGAAUCUCUCUCCAUUUAAUCCCAGUUUCUGGAUGCAGCAGCUGUUGGUGUCUGUUGGAUUCCAUGGACUCUCUCUCUAUUCCAUCCCAGUUUCUGGAUGCAGCAGCUGUUGGUGUCUGUUGGACACCAUGGAAUCUCUCUCCAUUCCAUCCCAGUUUCUGGAUGCAGCAGCAGUUCCAGAGGAAUUUCAGUGAGAGGUGUUGAGCUUCCCAGUGUGUUUGAAGGAUCUGGACCAGUUGGGAGAACUAUUGAAGCAGGAGCUUCCCUCUGCCUCUGCCAGGAGCUGCUGUGGCACACGUGGCCCGGAUCAGCGCCGGGCAGCGUCUGCUGGGGCUGCUGAGAGGAACAAGAGCCUUUGCUGUUGUUUUCACCCACACUAAGUCUCCUUUGGAUCCUGACUCUCUUGAUUUUAUCUCUUAUAAGUGGAGAGAGAGGGGAAAAAGCUGAGCUGACGGCUGGGAGAAGGACACAAAGUGUAAAGCUUCCUCAGAUGUUUUCAGUGCCUAAUGGGCUGGGACAGUGGCUGCUCUCUCCAGGGAAUUGUGCUGGGAGCUGUGCUUCAUUCUCUGUCCCAGGCAAUGCUGGAUCCUUCACAGGAGCUGCUGCAGGCACCACUUUUCUUCUGGCAUCAUAACAGGGCUCAUAGCUCUGGCUCAUAAUUCCCUCAUCACUCAGCCAGGAUCAGUGGGAAGUUCCUGAAGGCCCCUCAGCCCCUCCAGGGCACUGGGAAAUGGAGUUUAAAUAGAAAUUCAAAUGGAAGUGUUCACCUGAGGAAGUGCUGCUUAACAAGCAGGGCCACUUCUUUCCUGCAAAGCCAUCUCUGAGCCAGGAGGGGUGGCAGAGGCCAGGCUGCACUCCAGGAGUGGGGAUGGGGUUUCUGCAGAGAUUGUUUCUGAGCACAGCUCCUGGCCCAGCCUGCAAACAGCACAUCCCCCCUUCCCUGCCUGGCCCUUCCUGGGGCUCCUUGGCCCUUCCUGGGGUCAUUCCAGAGGCUGGGGUGGGGGAGCUCUGCAGGAGCUCAGAGAGGUGGAGCUGCCUUGGGCCAGCAGCCCCGAAUGAGCAGAGCUGACUCUGGUCCAGGCUUGCAGAGACAGUUUGCUUCAGAGCAGAGCUGUGUUUGCUCUGGGGGCUGUUCAGGGGGACAGUGGGCUGCAAGGACAGCAUUUUAGAUUGUCUUACAGCCAAGCAUUCCCCCUCCCUUUCCUGGGCUGGGGGUCUGUUCCCUGCCCCAGUGUCAGGACACGAGCUCCCCGUGUGUCACAGAGCCAUCCACUCGUCUGGGUUGGAAGGGAAAACUUUGAUUAUUGGAUUCCAAUCUUCCCAAGCUAACUGCUGUGUUUAAAUCCAUAAAACUGGAAUCUGCCUUUAGUGGGUCCAUAAUUGGAUUUUUUUAUCCCUUGCUUUCCUGCUCCUCAUAAUGGAUAAUUUUCCCAUACUGCCAUGACACUGGGUUUGUGUCUUCCUUUUUUUAAUUUAUUCCUUUAAGCCUCAUCUUUGCUCCUCUAAUUUAAUAAAUUACUGAAAUUAUUAUUUUUCCCCAGUGCUGGGGCUGGAGUUUCUGAGCUUGAUGAAGUUUUUCUGUGGAGAUGCAGAUCCCAUGUUUUAAUUACUGCUCAGGCCAGGUAAGCUGAUCUGGGGUUUUUCCCAGGGAAACAGCCUUGGCUCUGGCAGUGCUCUGCUCCCACCACAGCUCUGCAGCACCCUCCACCUCAGAUAUUCUCUGAUUUUAUUUUGGGCAAACUCCUUGAAUUCCAAAGAUUUUCCUCUAGUUUGUUUUGCUUUGCUGGCUCAGGGCUUAUUGCUGCAAUCUCAGCUAUUGCAGGGAAUCUAAAGGGGGUUUUUCCCUCCUACUGCAAAAACCCAGGAAAAGAAAGUGUCUGUGUGGAGGGGAACUUGGAAAGGGAAAGGAAAAGCUGUUGUGUUAUGCAGAAGAAUUUCCUUGCUUCUUUUAACUGCCUCUUGAGAUUAGAAUUCUCUGCCUUUAUUUUUAGCAGCCAGGCUGGUGGCAGGAACAAUUCCUUCCCUUGGCUUUGUCAAUAGGUAAAUACCACAUUUGUUUUAUUUAAAGCAAAGUCUGGAUGCAGAGGAAAUGCAGCAGUCCUCUGAGGAAAGCCUGGAGAGCUGGGAAUGCAGGCCCAGCUUUCCUGCACUCAUAAUUUUGCCAUCAGCCCCGAGUUCUGAACGCUGCCUUUUGUUUAAGGGUAACUCGGUGUUGGAACAGAUGGGGCUGUGCAAUGUAAAGACAAUCAAUCCUCACCCAAAAAUGAUAAAUGAAGAACAGAAAAGCGUGGCAUAUUUUGAGGAAUUUUUAACAUAUUUGUCUCUGUUACAGUGAAAGUUCUGCUAAAGAAUAAUUGCUGAUUAAAGCAGGUUUUAUCACAGGAGGGAGAGGUGUUGGGAGGAAAUUCCCUGCCCAGGUCUCAACAAGAAGGAGCCCUGUGUGUGAUGCUGAAGUGCCUCCAGCCCAAGGAACAGUAAAAUUCCAGGUGUGGGAAUCCCAGGUGCACUCCCAGUGCCAUUUGUGCCACGCUCCCCUGGGGCUGGGGAGUGGGUCCCACUGAAAGGCUGCCCCUGCUGAAGCCAAGAUCUCCUGGUAAUGUUCACUCACCUCUGCCAAGAUAUUCAUUACCUGGGCAGGCCUGACCUUGCUUUGCACUCAGGAGCUGAAAUUUACAGCUCAUACCUGGCUGCAGCCCAGAGCUGUGAGAAAAGGGAUUUCAGUGGUGUCAUAAAAUCCUUCACAACGUGUGGAGCCUGCACGGGCAGUGAAACCCAAAUCACCAUCCCAGUUCCUUGUUAGCCAAACCAUUUCAGCCCCCAGCUCUUCCCAUGGGUUGGUUUUGUGGGGGCUGAGAAGACAGAAUUGGAGAUGAGAGCUAAUUCCCCCCGUUUGGCAAAACAAACAAGCAGGUCCCGAGGAUGUGAUGCUGUGUGUCACAUCCUGGAACUCUGCUCCACCUCCUGGGCUGGGGAGCCUUUGAUGUCCUUCCAGAUUGUUCCUCUCACACAGCUUUGUCUGGGAGGGGAAUUCCUGCCUGACAGCUGCUCACACUCCCACAUAGCCACGCUGUCAAAAUAUUACAUUCUGCCCUAAAUUAUUUGGUAGCAAUGGGAAAAACACCUGCUUGCUGAGAACACUUCUUCCUUUUCAUUAUCCGCAGGAAUCUGGGGGGAGAUGGAUUAUUUCCAAUGCUAAUGACAGCCCUGUGCAGGAGCAGGGAAAUUUGGAUUCCUCUUGUUCCCCUCCUUGACAUUCAGAUACAGGAGUUCUUUAGAUACUUCAGUUUAUCACAUGAAAACUCCCUUAAAAUUCUUACAUAGCUUUUCCCAGUGGUUCUUUGCAGAUGUGGAGUUCCUAGCUGCUGGUCAUGCUCUGGAUCCCCCCUGGGAGAUGGUGAGUAUCCCUCCAGGCUGAAGGGCAGGAGGAGCUCUGGGAGCAACCCACAGUGGAAGUGUUCUGGGUCUUCUUGGGGGAGCACAGAAGGAGUUAAAUAAACCAGAGCUGGAGGGACAUUCCCAAAUCCAUAAUGCACAAAUUGGCAUUCUGUCUGCAUACAAAUAGCUUGGAUUAGCAGGAUGUGCCAUUGCUUUCACCAUAAAAAUAUCCACUCUCACAUUAUUUUAAGACACUUUCAAAAUAGAGCAGAGUUAAAAUAUUUGUUUUAAACUAUCCAGGGAUCCUUUCACAAUCUUUUUGAUGGCUUUUUAUAGCCCCUCUCCCCCCUGAGUCAUUCAGCAGUUCCCUUUCCCAAAAUACCAGUGGUAGCUCCAUCUCUGUGAUGGAUGUUUGUGGGAAUUCACUUCACUCCUGGCAGUCAGGGCCCUCAGCACUGCCUCUGCAGCUUGGGACAAAUGCAGACUAAGGAGGGGUUAGAUAAAAUACUGGGGAAAUAAAGUUACCAGAGCAGCUGUGGUGCCCCUGGAUCCCUGGCAGUGCCCAAGGCCAGGCUGGGCACUGGGGCUGGGUGUGCUGGUGCUCACAGGGGGGUCCCAGCACGAGGGAAGAGAUGAGAACCUUGACUCCACGUUUCAGAAGGCUGAUUGGUUAUUUUAGGAUAUAUAUUAUUUUAAAAGAAAAUGACGUAUUAAAACUAUACUCAAAGAAAGAGAAAGGAUUUCAUCAGAAAGCUAGCAAGGAAAGAAGAAGGAAUGAAAAUAAAACCUUGUGGCUGGCCACAGCCUUGACACAGGUGGCUGUCAUUGGUCAUCAAGUAAAAACAACCCACACGGACCAAUCAAAGCUGCACCUCCUGCAUCCCACAGCAGCAGAUAAUCAUUGUUUUUCUUUUCCUCUGAGGCCUCUCAGGAGAAAAGAUCCUAGCAAAGGAUUUUUCAGAAAGGGUCUGUGACAGCUGGGAGCAGCCUGGGGCAGUGGGAGGUGUCCCUGGGGUGGCUCUGGGUGGGAUUUAGGGUCCCUCCCAACCCAAACCUUCUGGGGUUCCCUGCUCACUCGCUGUGGAUGUUUUUCAUUGACCCCAUCUCACGUUCUUUCCUUUGGACCUUGACAUUUCACUGUUGAAGCAAAAGCUUUGGAUGGCAGGAGGGGCUGCCUGGAGCUCCCUCCAUGUCCCUCACAAGAAGUGGGAGCAAGUCUGGGAGCUGCUCCCCUGAAUCUGCCCUGCUCUCGUUCCUGACUCUCACAGCCAGAGGUAACAGCACCAUGUGUUCUUGUCUUGCUUUUAGAAAUUGCAUAUCCAGUUUCCUCCUGCUUUCCCUCAGGAGCAUCUGAGUGAAAUUGUUUUCCUGUCCUGCAAAACACGUCAGAAACUCUCCCUGCCCAGACUGAGGGAGAGCCACGAGAGCUGCUGGAGCCUGAGCCAGCAGUGACUGCUCCUGCAGCAGCAGGUUUGGGAUGGAUGGGACCUCCUGGGCCAGGAAUCAUCUGUUCCUCUGCCUUUGAGCCCAGAGCAGCUGCGAGCAGUGCCCGACUCCCCGGCACGGGCUGUGGUGACCAAGGGAGCCCGAGGGCUUUGGGCACAGCAAUCAGUCACCUCCUUUGUCUCCAAGGGCUUGGGCUGGCCCUAAUAAAUCACUGCGGGAGUGUGGAGCUCUGCUCCUGCACAGCCUCACCUGGGCCUGCACAGCCUCACCUGGGCCUGCACAGCACCAUGGACAGCCUCACCUGGGCCUGCACAGCCUCACCUGGGCCUGAACAGCCUCACCUGGGCCUGCACAGCCUCACCUGGGCCUGAACAGCCUCACCUGGGCCUGCACAGCCUCACCUGGGCCUGCACAGCACCAUGGACAGCCUCACCUGGGCCUGCACAGCCUCACCUGGGCCUGCACAGCAUCAUGGACAGCCUCACCUGGGCCUGAACAGCCUCACCUGGGCCUGCACAGCACCAUGGACAGCCUCACCUGGGCCUGCACAGCCUCACCUGGGCCUGCACAGCCUCACCUGGGCCUGAACAGCACCAUGGACAGCCUCACCUGUGCCUGAACAGCCUCACCUGGGCCUGCACAGCCUCACCUGGGCCUGAACAGCCUUACCUGGGUCUGAACAGCCUCACCCUGGCCUGCACAGCACCAUGGACAGCCUCACCUGUCCUGCACAGCCUCACCUGUCCUGCACAGCACCAUGGACAGCCUCACCUGUGCCUGCACAGCCUCACCUGUCCUGCACAGCCUGGCUGCAGGCUCGGAGCCUCAGGGAGAGCAGGGUGGGUGCCCUCCGUGUCUCCAGGCUGUUCUGGGUGCCAUCCCAAGCCUUUGCAUCCUGGGAGGGGAAUUGGGACUGUCAGGAAGGCUUCAGGGGGACACAAAGUCCUGGAUCCCUGGCAGUGAUGAGGGAUCUGCUGGGAUAGCCCCAGAAUUUGGGGUUUCUCAGCAUGAUUUGCAAUCCCAGUUCAGCCUGUCUGGGGAGAAGAGGGAAAAUAUCACUGGAGCUCCACAGAGAGCCCUGCUGUCACAGAACCAUGGAAUGGGUUGGGGACCUCAGAGCCCACCCAGUGCCACCCCUGCCGUGGCAGGGACACCUCCCACUGUCCCAGGUGCUCCAGCCCCAGUGUCCAGCCUGGCCCUGGGCACUGCCAGGGACCCAGGGGCACCACAGCUGCUCUGGGAAUUCCAUCCCAGCCCCUCCCCACCCUCCCAGGGAACAAUUCCUAAUUGCAAUGUCCCACCCAGCCCUGCCCUCUGGCACUGGGGAGCCACUGAAGUGACCCUGCAGAAUAUUGCUCUCUUGUAUAGAAAAAUUCUAUUUAAACCUUGUUUGCUGGACACAGCAAAAAUGGGGUUUGGGUGUUCCAUCUACCCAGGGCUCUCUGCUAUGGAUGAGGGAAUUUUGAAACAAAAAUCUCUCUCUUGUGUUUU